UGGUGGAGUGAUUUGUCUGGUUAGUUCCGUUAACGAACGAGACCUUAACCUGCUAAAUAGCUACGCGUAGCUUCGGUUACGUGGCAACUUCUUAGAGGGACGUUGCGUGUCUAACGCAAGGAAGUUUGAGGCAAUAACA
rnacentral:rRNA from 1 species